rnacentral:rRNA from 1 species
AUUGAACGCUAACGGCGUGCCUAACACAUGCAAGUCGAGCGGCAGCAUGAUCUGUAGCAAUACAGAUUGAUGGCGAGCGGCGGACGGGUGAGCAAUACAUAGGAAUCUACCUUGUAGUGGGGGAUAACCCGGGGAAACUCGGGCUAAUACCGCAUAAUCUCUACGGAGCAAAGCGGGGGAUCGUAAGACCUCGCGCUAAAAGAUGAGCCUAUGUUGGAUUAGCGAGUUGGUGAGGUAAUGGCUCACCAAGGCGACGAACCAUAGCUGGUGUGGGAGGAUGAUCAGCCACACUGGGACUGAGACACGGCCCAGACUCCUACGGGAGGCAGCAGUGGGGAAUAUUGGACAAUGGGCGAAAGCCUGAUCCAGCAACGCCGUGUGUGUGAAGAAGGCCUUCGGGUUGUAAAGCACUUUUAGUUGGGAAGAAAAGUUCAUGGCUAGUAACUAUGAGUGAUGACGUUACCAACAGAAAAAGCACUGGCUAACUCUGUGCCAGCAGCCGCCGUAA